rnacentral:rRNA from 1 species
GACUCUCGGCAACGGAUAUCUUGGCUCUCGCAUCGAUGAAGAACGUAGCGAAAUGCGAUACUUGGUGUGAAUUGCAGAAUCCCGCGAACCAUCGAGUCUUUGAACGCAAGUUGCGCCCGAGGCAUUUAUGUCGAGGGCACGCCUGCCUGGUCAUCACGCAUCG